rnacentral:rRNA from 1 species
UACGUAGGUGGCAAGCGUUGUCCGGAUUUAUUGGGUUUAAAGGGUGCGUAGGCGGUCUGUUAAGUCAGUGGUGAAAUACUUCAGCUCAACUGGAGAGGUGCCAUUGAUACUGGCGGACUUGAGUACUGAUGAGGUAGGCGGAAUGGACGGUGUAGCGGUGAAAUGCUUAGAUAUCGUCCAGAACACCGAUAGCGAAGGCAGCUUACUAAGGAGUAACUGACGCUGAUGCACGAAAGUGUGGGGAUCAAACAGG